rnacentral:rRNA from 1 species
CCUUUAUUUUUUUUCCCCACAUUUUUUUUUUUUUUUAUUCAGCAGAGGCUGCCUCUAAGUAGAGCGACGGGCGAGGUUAAACUAGGGCAUGAUACCCUAUUAUUAAAAAUUUAAUUUAAAAUACUAAAAUAUUAAAUAAUUAAUUAUUGAAACUUAAGUAAUUUGGCGGUAUUUUAGUUCAUUUAGAGGAAUCUGUUUAAUAAUUGAUAUUCCACGAAUAAAUUUACUUAAUUUAAUAUUUUAUAUAUCGUUGUUAAAAAAAUAUUUUUAGAUGAUAAUAAUAUUUAAAAAUUUAUAAUAAAAAUUAGUUCAGAUCAAGAUGUAGAUUAUAAUUAAGAAUAUAAUGGAUUACAAUAAAAUUAUUUAUUAAUAGAUAUUAUUUUGUAAAAAUAAUUGAAAGUGGAUUUAAAUGUAAUUUUAUAUAAUUUUAUAAAAGAUAAACGGGUAGA